AAAACUUUCAACAACGGAUCUCUUGGUUCCCGCAUCGAUGAAGAACGCAGCGAAAUGCGAAAACUAAUGUGAAUUGCAGAAUUCCGUGAAUCAUCGAGUCUUUGAACGCACAUUGCGCCCUUUGGUAUUCCGAAGGGCAUGCCUGUUCGAGCGUCAUUG
rnacentral:rRNA from 1 species